AAAUUUAGAGGACUAAAUUUUUCUUUUAAGGGGGGGAGAGUGUAACACCCCUCAAUUCCGAAUGUUCGUAUAAAUUUUUGGUGAUAAUGUAAGCAUCUAUUUUAAUUGACAAAAGAAAUAGAGUAUGAAUCAGAGGUAACUUAUUUUUAAGAUUUGGGAGAUCUAUUCAAAAAAAAAAAAGAAAAAAAGAAAGAAUCUGAGGACCUAUAUGUAAACCCUAAGGACCUAAUCGUGAAUAUGAUAAAAACAAGGACUAAACUGCAAAAUGCACCAAAUGACAAAUUCCACCGCUUAAGCCUCUCUGCCUUCGUUGUUAAGGAAGCAGAGGAGGCAGCUCGUGGGUGAUCAGGGAAAGAAAAGAAGAAGAAGAAGAAGAAGAAGAAGGAGAAGAGAAAGAAAAUUUGGGGCUUUUAGGGUUUUUGCUUUAAUCUUGUUACUUCGGGUCAAAAUUUGCAAAGGAUAGCGUAACUCUUGCUUAAAUGUUAAGAAUGGGCUGAGGCAGCGGAAAGUUUAGAAGACGUUGGGCAGAACUUUUGUUAGCAUAUAUGUAGUUGUGUAUAAGCUACCUUGCAUCUAAUGAAAUGUGACUAUGAAUCUAAACCUGUGGAUUUUGUGUAAGUUAAAGGAUCCCUCAUGUAUAGGGUUUUGGAAUGUUAAAUUAAAUUGUGUAAUGAUAUGAACUUAUGGUAAAUCGAUGAUUGUGGUGACUGCA